CUCCCGCCGGCCCCGCCUCCGGGCCCAUCCCAAGAUGGCGGAAAUUCCCCCGGUACUUUGUGGACUUGCCGGAUGACUUAGACGAUUAUGGAUUUGAGGAGUUCGGGCCAGAUGGUCACCGCACGAAGGUGACAGCCUUCUCGGACAUUCCGGACCAGGACAACCUGCCACCGCUCGCUUGCCUGGAAAGGUCCACUUUCAAUGAUAGCAUCUUCAACCCGUUAGAAAAUGAAGUCAGGAAGUGCUGUUGGUUCUUCUGGAACAAGACCUAAUUUUCCAGCACGAUGUUGAAAACACGGUGUGUCCAGUCCUGCUGGCGCUCUCUGCCCCCGUCGGCAAGGACAAGCAAAAGCCGCGAACGCUGGCUUCAGUGCUGAGCAAGGGCAGAGCUGAACACCUGCUGCUCCCUCGGUUCUGUGAACUCUGUGCUGAUGGGAAGCUCUUUCACGUUCGGAAGGUGCUCCAGGCUGCCUUCCAGGCCCGAGGCCCCUUCAUCUCCACCUUUGCAAACCCUUCUAGGACUGGCCCUUAUAUUCGAGGAGACGGCACCCUCCGAUUUGGACUCGGGCUUCACCCCCGCGUCCCCCAGCAGGGGCAGCGGUGGCAGCGCGUCCUCAGCCUGGGAAAAUGUGAGGUCUCCCCAGAAGACUUCUGUGCCAUAGGAUCUUACGUGCAUGGAGAGGUGACAUUGCUGAACCACUGUUAGUAGGCCCUACGCUGUGUUCCUAGGAAAACCUUGGGAACCGAAGGUUCUGGUAGCGGGCCUCGGAGCAGACGGAGCAUCUGUCCGGGUAUUAAUCGACUUUCCCGGAUCGCAUAUUGAGCUGAUUUGUCAGCAUCCAUGAAGCUAGUGGACAGUGUGACAUUUCAAGUGCGAGGAGGAGGGUCCGUGCUAUCUAUGGUCGAAGGAGAAGGUUCAGCAGCAAACACUAGAAGUGUUUGUACACGUGAAAACUCAGAAGAGCUUGCUCCGCGAAUCCUCUCUGACUGGCCACGCUGUCUCCCUCCGUCUCCGUGGUCCCUCCCCCGCCUCUCCGCCCCCUGUCUGGAGUCUGGCCUUGCUGCCCCCUCCAGCCCCGGGGAGCUCCUGGAGGUGCUCGCUCGCUUGCUGCUUCUGGCCAGCAUCACCCUGCCUCCUGGAGCCGUCUCUGCUUUGAACAUGCGACUCUUACUUAAGGGCAUUGGUCAGCCACCCCGGGGACCCUAGGGCUUCAAGAAGGGUAAGGUAGACUCACGCUGUUGGUGCUCACAGCCGUUUGUAGGGCCUGGGGCAGAGUCUGGAAAUGAAAAUGUAUGAAAUCUGGUUGUCUCGGCACCUGCCGUGGCCGAGCUGUACCGUGUCAUACACAGCUGCUCGAAUGUACGUCUCACAUCUGGAGAGGUGCUCUUGCCUCUGGGGAAAGUGCUGGCCUUGGUUCGCAGAAGUCAUUUCUGGUGCUGAAAGAGGGUUCUUUGAAGGCGGAGCCACAGGACAGCUUCCUCCCGUGGCCUAAGUUGAUGUGCCCCCUCCAUUCUGUAGGGUCCAGGCCAGCCCUGCAGAGGAGCCAGUGACCAUCGGGAGGCUGGCCAGAGGGGUGACGCUGCCCCACUUGAAGAGACUAAAUCUAAAUUACAGAGAAAAAGCUAAGUGGCUGAUGUCUUGGGAAGCCUGAGUCCCGUCAGUUGGCAAGAAGCGGCGAGGAGCAGAGGGAAGGGGCUGCAGCCGUCUCGCUGGGGCAGUUACAAGAAAAGAGGAGACAGGUGCCAUUGGCCAGAGCUGUGUGCGUCGGGCUAACCCAACGCCGACCCUCUGGACUGGGCUCUGGGAUAGCAAGCGCUGGGCCGAUUUCAGAGAGAUGAAUGCAGGCACUGUGGUCCACAUUGAAAUCUCACUCCCUGCAAAGCAAGACGCUCGCCCCGCCCAGCCCCGAGCUUCGGGAAGGCCGCCCCCUCGUGGAUGUCGGUCUGCACCCGAGUUCCUCGCUCCUUUCCUCCCCCGAGUGGUCCCCUCCCCUCCCAAGAGAUGCCGUUGCCCUUUCUCUCCUGUCGCCCAGGACAGAGCGCCUCACCCGCUGCCCCAUCGCCGUCAGUACGAUCAGUAUGUGUCCGCAACCAACCCGGCUCGAGCCCAGACCGUCGAUACCGACAGAGCCAAACACCGCGCCUCCAGCCUGCCGGGGGUGGCACUCGCCCUGGGCAGGCCCCAUUGGCACUCCCUCAAGGACACCUACGAGACGCUGGCUUCCGAUGUGCAGGGACGGCCUCCGGCUCUUGGUGACACUGAGUUGUGCUUUUGCCUUUGCGGUCGGUGUGUCUGCUGUGCGCCCCCAGCGGAAGGUACGUCGGACCCUGGCCUUCUCUGUCCACGAGCCGGCUGUCAUCCUCGGCAAUCAGCUCACGGCCGCCGACCUGGUGCCCAUCUUCAACGGAUUUUUAAAGGACCUGGAUGCAGUGCGCACAGGCGUUCUUAGGCACCUGUGUGACUUUCUAAAGAAACCCAUCAAGCUUUUGCAGCUCUUCAGGAUAUGAUGUGGCCGAUGCCGGGGGCAAACUAAAAGAUUUUCUCUUCGCUGUGAUCCUUAAUCAUUAUGCUUAAUUUGAGAGAUUGAGGCUUCAGUCAUUAUGCCAUGUUCCCGGCCUAUUAUUCUAAGAGAACUGAGAAAAACAGGCCCACGUUUUUUUCCAUGAAGGCAUCGCGCCCUCUAGCGGCAGAACUCGGGAACUCGGCGAGACAGCUUAUACUGCUUUUGGAACUCUAUAAUUCCAAUGAUGAUUUUUUAAUGCAAAUUCCAUUAAAGCUGUGUGCCGAUAAAGCUUCUGAAGUUCGGUGGAUCUCCUUCAAACUAGUGGUGGCAAUUCUGCAGAAGUUCCGUUCAAACAGUGAGAGUGCCCUGGGAUUAAAUUUCAUCAAGGAGCUCACGCUAAGAUUCGGGCACUGUUCGAAGUGGGUCAGCAGGCAAGCUUGGGCUUUCAUGUGUCAGGUUAGCACCACCUGGGGGACAUGUCUGCCCUGGACGGAUGUUUGCCACGUGGAUUUCAUGAACAUCAGGAAAAGCAUCUCCGCUCUGGUGGAGGGACUAGCCGGGAACUUGGGGAUCAGCACACCGAACCCUCUUCACCCCCAGGAGAUUGUUGAGCAACCCAGUCAGGCCCAGGGACGUGCCCGGCGUUACCAGCCUGCAUGGGCAUUCAGCCCUGGGAGCAUGACUGAGCAUCUCCUGUGUGCCAGGCACGCCCCGGAUGCUGGGCACAGAGGCGGACAAGCUCCUGCGCUCCCAGCACCUCCUGUCUGGUGAGCAGGGCCAGGCGCAGCCCCAUGCUUGCCAUGUCCGGUCCAGGGCUGCUCAUCACGGUGCCUCCCCUCAGCAGGGAAGGAGGAGGUUGGGGUGAGGAACAGAGCAAGUCCGGGACCAUUAAGUCUCUUUAAGUGUGAAGUUCAGGGCCUGCUCGGCUCCUUGGGUCACCCUCUCUACUUAGCAUCGUGGGGAUGAGAGUGCGAUUUGUGUCUGGCUGGGGUGGUAGCUGCCAUUUCUUGAUUGCCUCUAAGGGCCAGGCAUCUCAUCCCCCGUCUGAGCCUCAAGAGUAGCAGCUACCCUCUGGUGAGCGUGGGCGCAUCCACGUACCUUGUAGACCAGUUUCUUUAGAUGAAGGAGUUGAAGCCCAGAGAGGUUAAGUAACUUGUCAAGAUCACACAGGAAGUGUCAAGGCAUGAUUUUUUUCUGCUAAAGUGUUAACAACUUUAACUUCCCCUCAUGCACAUAUUCUAUCAAAGGUUGAGGGCGCAGUGUAAUGAAUCUCCAUGAACCCAUCACCCAGCUUCGUCUCAGAGCUGUGAUUGGACCAGACCCUGGGCUCCAGAGGCUCUUUUCUCUCCCUCAGAAGCACCCCAUCGCCUCUGAAGGACUCACCGGUGCCCCCUGUCGGCCUUCAGGGGUAUCACGGGGGCGCUUUGGCUGUCCGCUUGGGGCCCUGCAGUGGCUGCAGACCUCAGUGCCAGUGUCACACCCUGCAGGCCGGAGACCACAGACUUUUGUCAAGAAGAGGACUUAUCCUGUGAAGAAGUGACUUGUUGUCCUGAGGUGCGGUUUUAAAAAAGACCCCAAACAAGAGUAUGUUUCAGAACACAGUUCAUGGCACACGUGACUCAAUUUCCUGCGUUGGCUCGCUAGCAUAUUUUAGAAAUGCUGGUAACCCUCAUCUUGAAGUCGUCGAAGAGACCGUCUUAGCUUUGCAGUCUGACUGGGACCAAGCUGUUAACUCGUUUGCCACACCGGAGCCAGAGCAGCAGACUGUCACAGACACUGCUGUGCUGGAAAAACGCAAUCAACCACUCCGAUCACGCACAGGCCGGUCGAUUCAUGCUUGGCGCCUGUGGCUUAACCGUGUUGAAGGGGACCUGAAGGUCCCACGCCUGCCUGGGGAGGAAGGGUUUCUGAAACUUUGGUAGCUGUGCACUCAGCUGGCCCCUUCCCCGUCUGUGGUCACAGGGGCUGCCCCCGGGGUGGGCCAGGCCCAUGCUGCGCUCCUGUGCCCCCCUUCCCUUCCGACCGGGAAGUCUGCGAGAAGGUUGUAGAACUGGGCGCCAGCUGGGCGUGGGGUCUCCGAGGCAUCAGAUUGCCCGCGAGUGUUUGUCUUCUCCAUUACAGGCUAUGUUAUUACCGCCCCCCCCCAAUAAGGGGUGCUUUAUUAGAAGCUUUUAAGUCUUUAAUAGACUUGCAUAUUUGCCUCUUCCCACAUGCUUUCCUAUGAAAUAUAGUUUAUGGUAUUCUAUUUUAUUUUUAACUGAAAUACUGUACAUAUGUAAAUAACUCUUGACAGGAAGAAAAUCUAUUAAUGUAAUAGUCGCCUCCUAUCAUUGAGCAGGACACAUACAUCAUUUAAAUUUAUGCUCCACUUUGAGUUGCUGCAAAUAUAGCCCAAUCUGUUUACUUUUGAAAAAUGCGAGUUAAAGAAACCUAUUAGGGAGUGAUUUAUGGCAGUCUUUCUAAUAUUGUACUUUUGCUAUAAACUGUCCUUGGAACUUUUCCUCAGCAUUCAUCUCCUCCUCUUCCGGCGGGAACUGUUUCCAUAAGAUAACGUGUUGGCCUUUAAUGGAAGCCUAAAGCAGAAAGGCUUUUCAUUCUUAUAUGGAUGUCUUAUCAUUUGUUUAAGAACUCGGGUGGGGGGGGGACUGGUCACUGAGGAGCGUGGAUGACGACUUUAAGUCUGAUGCUUCAGGAUCUCAGCGAAACAUAGGAAACCAGAGUUCUGACUGGUCUGUGUAGUUUGGCCACAAGUAGCAGUGAUCUGGGGGGGUUCGGUGAUAUAGUCUUCAAACCGACCUAGGUCCACAGAACUUAACUCCAUGCUUUUAAAAUUUAGGCUAAGAGCAAGGGACUCUAAUUUAAACAGGCUUUACCUUAACAAAUAACUCGAGGUUCUACAAGCAUUUGAUUAAACUCCUUGUACAUACAUACUGACGUUAUGUUUCUUGUUUCCAUUUUUAUUUUCUCAAAGUCAGGCAUGAGGGGAGGGGGCAGCAGCCCAUUUGGGGGCCGAGAGCUCGCUGCCAAGGGCGUGCUAGCUGUUUCCAUUCUUCCCGUGGCUCUUUUUCUUAUCUUUCUUUUCUUUCUUUCUUUUUUUUUAAAUAAGAUCUCUGGAGCUAUAUAUUGAGUUUCCUGGUAUACAGGAUGUUCCUCCCCCAAAUUCCACGGGCUGACUCUGGAAAAAGAAAGGAAGGAAUCUAUACCGUGCCAAAGAAAAUAAGGCACAUGUAUGAGAAUUGCAGAUGGUAACCCAACAUUUUGGCAACUUGAGCAGAGAGUGAGUUAAUACUUUGGAGACUACAUAUAAAGGGGGAAAAAAUCCAUCUUAUAUUCAGUACUUGCCUAAAGUAAAUAGAUGAAGCUAUUGUUUUGCUUUGGUAACAAGCAAUUUUUACUUUUUUUUAAUUGCCUAGAAAUUGAGAGUGUCAUAUUGUUAAAAUCUCUUGAUCUAGCAGCAAGUAGACUUCUUCAACUGGAAUCUGGUAUUCUGUCCAGAGCUUCAUUUUCCCAUUAAGAAAAAAAAAUUCGCUUGAAUUUGUGAGGAUGGGUUCGAUUUGCAUAUGAUUUGCCUGCGGAAUCAGAUGUGCUCGUAGAGGUUGUCAAGACUCUGGUAAAUAAUCUGACCUUUAAGUUUUGAGUGUCCGUGUUAAGAUUUUUCUGUAACAGGAAUGCCUUUCCAGCGCGAAGACAUUUUUAUGACUGUAUCUUCCCUGCAAAAAGUAUGUUUAAAGCUCACAUUUUAGUCUGGGUUUGUAGCAGCUGAGAUGUUUCUAAGAUUGUUCUGGUUGCCCUUGCUGCUCUCAUGGAUUCAGCGCCCUACCCACUGACUGGUCACAGGUGUGGUUGUGAGUGUGUGUGAUUUCACCACCUGACGUCCCCUUCCUGUUUACUUAAACAUCCAGUUUCUUCCGGAGUCAAUGGAGAAGCACCAGGUGGUUUCUUAAAGGGGUCUCAGCGAUAGAACCAUCUCAGCCCUCCCCCCAGUGACAUUUCACUCUUGUUAAGCAUUUUCAUCAGCACCUUUCCCACUCCAAGAAUUCGAGAACGUUUUCAAAGUUGAUGGGUCGUGAUGGAGCUUUGCAGAUUUUCAGAAAGAUCUGUCUUCCACUUCCGGGGUGGGACGUAUCGGGCUUUUUCACUGUCAAGUUGGGCCAGAUCUGCCUGAAGGGAGUCCUGUUUCUGCAGUGUGGGUUUUUUUCCGUUCAUGCUAGAAAUGCGACUUUUAAGCAUGACUAAAGACUGCACUUUACAACUCUCUGACUUUACCCAGCGAUGAUUCACGCAUAAUUCCUCCAGAUAGUUGGCCCCAAAUUGUGCAAUGAUUGUAUUUUAAACAGACACGGAGAAGAGAUCACAGGUGCCUAAACGGCCACAAGCCGCUCCGUUUUCCAGGUUACAGGAACUGACGUUAAGAGCAACUUGGAAGCUGUGAGAAGGAGUUGGGAUGUGGCCGGAGCUGGGCGCGCCGGGACGCGGGGCCUCUGGGCGGCGAUGCCUCUGUAUUGAUCUCAAUAAAUCUCCCUCUUAUUUGAGGAA